CCUACGGGUGGCAACAGUAGGGAAUCUUUCACAAUGGGCGAAAGCCUGAUGGAGCAACGCCGCGUGCAGGAUGAAGGCCUUCGGGUUGUAAACUGCUUUUAUAAGCGAGAAAUAUGAUGGUAACUUAUGAAUAAGGAUCGGCUAACUACGUGCCAGCAGCCGCGGUCAUACGUAGGAUCCGAGCAUUAUCCGGAGUGACUGGGUGUAAAGAGUUGCGUAGGUGGCAUAAUAAGUAGCUAGUGAAAUCUGGUGGCUCAACCAUUCAGACUAUUAGCUAAACUGUUAAGCUCGAGACCGUUAGGGGUAACUGGAAUUUCUAGUGUAGCGGUGAAAUGCGUAGAUAUUAGGAGGAACACCGGUGGCGAAGGCGGCUUGCUGGACGGUAACGGACGUUGAGGCUCGAAAGCGUGGGGAGCAAACAGGAUUAGAUACCCCGGUAGUC
rnacentral:rRNA from 1 species